UACGUAGGAUGCAAGCGUUGUCCGGAAUUAUUGGGCGUAAAGAGCUCGUAGGCGGUUUGUCGCGUCUGCUGUGAAAUCUGGGGGCUCAACCCCCAGCCUGCAGUGGGUACGGGCAGACUAGAGUGCGGUAGGGGAGAUUGGAAUUCCUGGUGUAGCGGUGGAAUGCGCAGAUAUCAGGAGGAACACCGAUGGCGAAGGCAGAUCUCUGGGCCGUAACUGACGCUGAGGAGCGAAAGCAUGGGGAGCGAACAGG
rnacentral:rRNA from 1 species